UACCUGAGGGGUCUCGCUCUUAGUACGAGAGGACCGGAGUGACUGGACCGACGGUGUACCUGUUGUCGCGCCAGCGGCAGCGCAGGGUAGCCAUGUCCAGAAAGGAUAAGCGCUGAAAGCAUCUCAAGCGCGAAACCUGCCCCAAGAUGAGGUAUCCCAUGGCACAAGCCAGUAAGGACCCAGGAAGAUUACCUGGUUGAUAGGCGCCACGUGUACGCACGGCGACGUGCUCAGCGGAGGCGUACUAAUCGUCCGAGGGCUUACCACU
rnacentral:rRNA from 1 species